GAGACUUUCGCUAUCAGACUGGAAAUUCGUGGGAUCCCUGUUUUGUUCCUCCAAAUGCUGACUGGUGGUUUUCCAGGCAAGCAGGUCAGUGUCUUCCAGAGACAAAAACAAUUCCAAAUUCCAAUCAGGAAAAGGAACAUUUGGCCGCUUUUCACAAAGAGGCAAUGGAGAUUCGUAGCCACUGGCACAGUGUUGAUGUGUGACCUAAGAAUUCAGGUCUGACUCUUGUGGGAUGUCUGUCUACGACCUAUUUGGAACCCUGUAUCCAGAAGAUCUGGGUUGGUUACCCUGCAUCAAGGUUUCCUUGGAUUGUAUCCACCCUCUGGCAAUUGAAUGCUUAUUGAGUUUGUUUGUA